rnacentral:rRNA from 1 species
UGCCGGUGAGUGAUGAAGGCUUAGGGUUGUAAAGCUCUUUUGUCCGGGAAGAUAAUGACGGUACCGGAAGAAUAAGCCCCGGCUAACUUCGUGCCAGCAGCCGCGGUAAUACGAAGGGGGCUAGCGUUGCUCGGAAUCACUGGGCGUAAAGCGCACGUAGGCGGAUCUUUAAGUCAGAGGUGAAAUCCCAGGGCUCAACCCUGGAACUGCCUUUGAUACUGGGGAUCUCGAGUCCGGAAGAGGUGAGUGGAACUCCGAGUGUAGAGGUGAAAUUCGUAGAUAUUCGGAAGAACACCAGUGGCGAAGGCGGCUCACUGGUCCGGUACUGGACGCUGAGGUGCGAAAGCGUGGCGGAGCAAACAGGGAU